rnacentral:rRNA from 1 species
UCCGUAGGGUGAACCUGCGGAGGGAUCAUUACCGAGUUUACAACUCCCAAACCCCUGUGAACAUACCAAUUGUUGCCUCGGCGGAUCAGCCCGCUCCCGGUAAAACGGGACGGCCCGCCAGAGGACCCCUAAACUCUGUUUCUAUAUGUAACUUCUGAGUAAAACCAUAAAUAAAUCAAAACUUUCAACAACGGAUCUCUUGGUUCUGGCAUCGAUGAAGAACGCAGCAAAAUGCGAUAAGUAAUGUGAAUUGCAGAAUUCAGUGAAUCAUCGAAUCUUUGAACGCACAUUGCGCCCGCCAGUAUUCUGGCGGGCAUGCCUGUUCGAGCGUCAUUUCAACCCUCAAGCCCCCGGGUUUGGUGUUGGGGAUCGGCGAGCCCUUGCGGCAAGCCGGCCCCGAAAUCUAGUGGCGGUCUCGCUGCAGCUUCCAUUGCGUAGUAGUAAAACCCUCGCAACUGGUACGCGGCGCGGCCAAGCCGUUAAACCCCCAACUUCUGAAUGUUGACCUCGGAUCAGGUAGGAAUACCCGCUGAACUUAAGCAUAUCAAAGCCCCGGAGGAA